rnacentral:rRNA from 1 species
GAUGAACGCUGGCGGCGUGCUUAACACAUGCAAGUCGAACGAUGAAGCCCAGCUUGCUGGGUGGAUUAGUGGCGAACGGGUGAGUAACACGUGAGUAACCUGCCCUUAACUCUGGGAUAAGCCUGGGAAACUGGGUCUAAUACCGGAUAGGAGCGUCCAACGCAUGGGGGGUGUUGGAAAGAUUUAUCGGUUUUGGAUGGACUCGCGGCCUAUCAGCUGGUUGGUGAGGGAAUGGCUCACCAAGGCGACGACGGGUAGCCGGCCUGAGAGGGUGACCGGCCACCCUGGGACUGCGACACGGCCCAGACUCCUACGGGAGGCAGCAGUGGGGAAUAUUGCACAAUGGGCGCAAGCCUGAUGCAGCGACGCCGCGUGAGGGAUGACGGCCUUCGGGUUGUAAACCUCUUUCAGUAGGGAAGAAGCGAAAGUGACGGUACCUGCAGAAGAAGCACCGGCUAACUACGUG